UACGUAGGGUGCGAGCGUUAAUCGGAAUUACUGGGCGUAAAGCGUGCGCAGGCGGGUUUGUAAGGCGGAUGUGAAAUCCCCGGGCUUAACCUGGGAAUGGCAUUCGGGACUGCAAGGCUGGAGUGCGGCAGAGGAGACUGGAAUUCCUGGUGUAGCAGUGAAAUGCGUAGAUAUCAGGAGGAACACCGAUGGCGAAGGCAGGUCUCUGGGCUGACACUGACGCUCAUGCACGAAAGCGUGGGGAGCAAACAGG
rnacentral:rRNA from 1 species